rnacentral:rRNA from 1 species
AUGUACCUGUCACUGCAGUCCGUGCUCCGGCGGGAGCUGCAGCUGGUGGGCAUCUCCGCCCUGCUCAUCACCUGCAAGUACGAGGAGAUUUGGGCUCCUGAGGUGAAUGAUUUCAUCUUGAUCUCCGACAGCGCAUACACCCGGGAGCUGAUUCUGAAGAUGGAGAAGGCCAUCCUGAACAUGCUGGAGUGGAACCUGACGGUGCCCACGCCCUACGUCUUCCUCGUCCGUUUUGCCAAGGCCGCGUGCUCCUCCUCCUCCGAUCAAAAGCACAAUAAGGAUGUAAUACAUUGUUCUUAUUAUUGCAGCUAG